rnacentral:tRNA from 1 species
GACCCCAUCGUCUAGUGGCCUAGGACACCGCCCUUUCACGGCGGUAACACGGGUUCGACUCCCGUUGGGGUCA